rnacentral:lncRNA from 1 species
AGAAAAAUAGAUCUACAAUUAAACAGAGGACUUUCAAGCAUUGCUAUGAAAAGACCAGAGCUGUGUAGAAACUUUGAAGUUCCAAGAAAGGAGUUAAAAGAAACAUAAAAAGUACGAUAGUGACUAAUCAGAUUUGACCUUCAGGAAAAUUACAAUGACAGCUAUGUAGAGAAUGGACUGAAGUGGGAGAAACUUGAAGCAAGGUGACCAAUUAAGAGGUGAGGAAAAUUCAUCUGGAGGUUUCAACCUUGUGUGUUCUGAAAGUCGAGAAAGCAAACCUCCAAGAGUCCAAGAAUUCCAGAGCCAAUGAGAGCUUUGGCAGCCAGUCAGCAUUGAUGCUCUGAAGAAUAAGGC